rnacentral:lncRNA from 1 species
AAAAACAAGACACUUAGAAAAUGUCUCUUAGGAGAAAAAGCAAGUUGAAAUUUUGAAACUAGUUGCCUGGGAAACUGCUGACUGAGUCUGGGGUUGAGGUGGCCAUAACUGGGAUUAUUGAUGAGGUUUUUAUGUUCCUAAACCGUUAUCACCUCCUGUUGUGAAUAUAAUUUUUUCCCCUUCUUCUAGGCUGUGAAGAGAGGAAGUAAUUUUGAAGGACAACAUGGGCAUUGUCCCUGAGAGGGGAGAAGCUAUGAGUUGCCAGCAGUCUGGGUAAUUCACAGAGGUACUCUCUCAGAUAUUUCAUGUAAGCCAACUCAUGUAAUCCUCAUAAUAAGGCCAUGAGGUAGAUGCUGUGUUACCAUCGUUCAACUGCCGGAAGUCACCAGCAAGGAGGGAGCAGAGGAAGAUUUGAGCCUGGGGAAGUCUGGCAGCCGCACCAAGCUGCUACCUGGGGAUGGAGAUAUUAAACAUCUACUGGAUGCAAGACAGUCCUGUGAACAUAGAAAGAAGCAAUCUUUCUCCUCAAAGAACUUCCAAUCCAGUAGGGGGGAUAUAAAAUAUACUUACAGGGAGACUUAACACCACAAUUCAACAGAUUGUGACUUUCCAAUGACUGGUACAAACAGUAAGUGUUUGAGGAGUUCAGAAGCAAGGUAAGUAUGGCUGCACUGGUCAGGGGAAGCUUCAAGAGAUGAAGAAACGGUGCGUCUUUGUGGAUGCAUGGACUCAAGUCAGAGUGCAGUGGGCUAUUCCAAGGACACAUGUCGGUGCAGAGGUAGAAAUGCCUGAAGCAGAUUUAGGCACUACCCAAGCUGGAAGAGAAGCUUUUGGUAGGCAAACAGAAAGAGAAAAGGGAAAAUGAUAACCCUGAGGUACUGUGGGAGCCUGAAUAAUCAAAACCUAAAGGGUCAGGGGCCAGCUGGUGGUGUAGUGGUUAAGUUCGUGCACUCUGCUUCAGUGGCCCGGGGUUCACAGGUUCAGAUCCUAGGUGUGGACCUAGCACCACUAAUCAAGCCAGGCCGUGGCGGCGUCCCACAUAAAAUAGAGGAAGAUGGGCACAAAUGUUAGCUCAGGGCCAAUCUUCCUCACAAAAAACAACAACAACAACAAAAACUAAAG